GACGUAGGGCGCGAGCGUUUGUCCGGAUUUAUUGGGCGUAAAGAGCUCGUAGGCGGCUUGUCGCGUCGACUGUGAAAUCCCGCGGCUCAACUGCGGGUCUGCAGUCGAUACGGGCAGGCUAGAGUGCGGUAGGGGAGAUUGGAAUUCCUGGUGUAGCGGUGGAAUGCGCAGAUAUCAGGAGGAACACCGAUGGCGAAGGCAGAUCUCUGGGCCGUAACUGACGCUGAGGAGCGAAAGCAUGGGGAGCGAACAGG
rnacentral:rRNA from 1 species